GCCAGGAUAGCUCAGUUGGUUAGGGUGUGGUGCUGAUGACAUCAAGGUUGCAGGUUUGAUCCCUGCAUGGGACA